GGGUACAGAAGUACAUACUGUAGGGUCCUUUUGAAUCCACAGUUGGGAAAGUGACCUUUCUUCUCUAAUACUUCUCUUGCAUCUGAUCCCACCUUCUGCCCAAGGCCAGAAAAGAUCAGGAAAGGUGUCUGCCUCUCAAGCAGAGAAGCACCUUGUUGUCUUCAAGAAGAGUGGAACAAACAUUGAGGAGCAUUUGUGAGAAAUCACAGCUAUUGCUAAGCCCUACCUCCUGGCCGUGGGACCUCAGAAGAAUUCAGUUCACCAGUACUUCAUCGUUCUUGAUCAGCCAUUCCAUGCUAGUCAACCUUUUCUCUUGGUGACUUUGAGGAGUUGAUUAAGGCACACUUUGUUUUUGGCUCCUCUUACAACAUUACAAGCCUCUUACAAGCCUCGCCUUUAAGAUGCUGCCUCAGAAGCAACACUACGAUCUCUUAGGGCACUAUAUCCAUGGUCGUCUACGACUGAAGGAGGCCUACUACUACAACAUUAUGCUACACAACAUGUACACUUUCAUUCAGACCACUGUGUACAACAUAGAUGUUGGCAAAGUGAAAGAGAGUUCUCGUGUUGCUGAGGUCAGAGCAAGGCUGCUUAGCUCAGUACCAUAAGUUAUUCUGCCCUCAUGAAGUGUUUUGUUCAAGUUACUUGGUUUAAAAUUGCUUCUUAGGCACUUCAGAUUAGUUCAUGGUUUUGUACCUGGAAAGUUAUUUUUGAGAUUCAGAGUCAGGCCCAGGAUGCUGCUUUGCUCCGUCUGUCUCCACAUGACAUUGCUAAUAAAAGGAAAACAGAAAGUUCAAUUGAAAAUGAGAAAAAUCUAGUUUAAUUCGGAAGCCAAACGAAAGAGACUUUUUUCAGAGAAAUGGGGAACUGAUGAACCAACUGAAAUAGUGCUCAGCACAAGAUUUGAUAGCAGGAGAAAUAAAACCACUGAAACAUUUUAUCAAGUUGUUGUAACAGAUAAAUUUGAUUAUACAGUGGA